rnacentral:misc_RNA from 1 species
CAACCCUCGAGCCCUCGUGGCCCGGCGUUGGGGAUCUGCCCAGGCAGGCCCCGAAAACCAGUGGCGGACCCGUCCGGGCCCUCUCCUUGCGUAGUAGCAUCAGCCUCGCAUCGGGAGCCGGCGGGCAUUCCGGCCUCUAAACCCCCCACAAGUCCGCUUCGGCGGCAUCAAGG